UACGUAGGGGGCAAGCGUUGUCCGGAAUCAUUGGGCGUAAAGCGCGCGUAGGCGGCUCGAUCAGUCUGCUGUAAAAGUCAAAGGCUCAACCUUUGAAUGCCGGUGGAUACUGUCGGGCUAGAGUGCGGAAGGGGCACUGGAAUUCUUGGUGUAGCGGUGAAAUGCGUAGAUAUCAAGAGGAACACCUGCGGCGAAGGCGGGUUGCUGGGCCGACACUGACGCUGAGACGCGAAAGCUAGGGGAGCAAACGGG
rnacentral:rRNA from 1 species